ACCGCUGUUGGUAUAGUGGUUAUAGCUUUGGAUUGGUAAUUCAAAGGACGGUGGUUCAAUCCCACUCUCGGGUA
rnacentral:tRNA from 1 species